AUUAAGUGAAAGAAGCCAGACACAUAAUACCACAUAUUGUAUGAUUCCAUUUAUAUGAAAUGUGCAGAAUAGGGAAAUCCAUAAAGACGGAAAGUAGAUUAGUGGUUACCAGGAGUUUGGGGGAGGAGCAAUUGGGAGUAUCUGCUAAUGGGUACAAGGUCUGUUUAUGGGGAGAUGAAAGUGAUUUGGAAUCAGUGGUGAUGGUUGCACAAUCUUAUGAACAUACUAAAAAUCAAUGAACUGUACAUCCUAAAAUGGUGAAUUUUAUGGUAUAUGAAUAAUGUCUCAAUAAUAGUACUGCCUUAAGGGAACUACUUUUUUUUUAAAAGGUAGCUCAGCAAGUGAGGGGUAGGAGACAUUGCUGAUUGCCUCGUGCCAGUGCCCCAGCAGAGGAGACAAUCCCCCGAUGAAGUAUUGUGGUGAAAUGAAGAGUUUUCUGGAACUUGUUCAAGUGCAUGGCCAUAUGCUUGUGACUUUUAAGGCACUAUCAAAAACUGUUCCUAGAUGAGUCUUUGGAAAGGUUUCACUCAGUUCUGCAUCAACUCGCCAUCACAUGAACCUGGUGAGAGCACUCUGUAUAUGGCUGCUUGGGGCUAUUGAGUGGGCUACAUUUUGUGAUUCAGUGGUAUCAGCUGGACUAAUUCAGAGUCAAGACUGCCGGAGAAGACCCCCUGAC